AUGUUCUAGCGGCGGACGGGUGAGUAACGCGUGAACAAUCUGUCCCAGACAGGGGGAUAACACUUGGAAACAGGUGCUAAUACCGCAUAAGACCACGGGGAGACAUCUUUCUGAGGUAAAAGGAGCAAUCCGGUUUGGGGUGAGUUCGCGUCCGAUUAGCUAGUUGGCGAGGUAACGGCCCACCAAGGCGACGAUCGGUAGCCGACCUGAGAGGGUGAUCGGCCACAUUGGAACUGAGAGACGGUCCAAACUCCUACGGGAGGCAGCAGUGGGGAAUAUUGGGCAAUGGGCGAAAGCCUGACCCAGCAACGCCGCGUGAGGGAAGAAGGUUUUCGGAUUGUAAACCUCUGUCCUCAGGGACGAAGGAAGUGACGGUACCUGAGGAGGAAGCCCCGGCUAACUACGUGCCAGCAGCCGCGGUAAUACGUAGGGGGCGAGCGUUGUCCGGAAUGACUGGGCGUAAAGGGCGUGUAGGCGGCUUUUUAAGUCUGGAGUGAAAGUCCUGCUUUCAAGGUGGGAAUUGCUUUGGAGACUGGAGAGCUUGAGUGCGGAAGAGGUAAGUGGAAUUCCCAGUGUAGCGGUGAAAUGCGUAGAGAUUGGGAGGAACACCAGUGGCGAAGGCGACUUACUGGGCCGUAACUGACGCUGAGGCGCGAAAGCGUGGGGAGCGAACAGGAUUAGAUACCCUGGUAGUCCACGCUGUAAACGAUGAAUGCUAGGUGUUGCGGGUAUCGACCCCUGCAGUGCCGGAGUAAACGCAAUAAGCAUUCCGCCUGGG
rnacentral:rRNA from 1 species